GGCCUAACACAUGCAAGUCGAGCGCACCUUCGGGUGAGCGGCGGACGGGUUAGUAACGCGUGGGAACGUGCCCUUCUCUGCGGAAUAGCCUCUGGAAACGGAGAGUAAUACCGCAUACGCCCUUCGGGGGAAAGAUUUAUCGGAGAAGGAUCGGCCCGCGUUAGAUUAGGUAGUUGGUGGGGUAACAGCCUACCAAGCCUACGAUCUAUAGCUGGUUUGAGAGGAUGAUCAGCAACACUGGGACUGAGACACGGCCCAGACUCCUACGGGAGGCAGCAGUGGGGAAUCUUCGGCAAUGGGCGCAAGCCUGACCGAGCCAUGCCGCGUGAGCGAUGAAGGCCU
rnacentral:rRNA from 1 species